rnacentral:rRNA from 1 species
GUAGUCUCGCACAGAUGCAUAUCAAUAAGCGGAGGAAAAGAAACUAACUAGGAUUCCCUCAGUAACGGCGAGUGAAGCGGGAAGAGCUCAAAUUUGAAAUCUUCAAGGUUCUACCUUGACGAAUUGUAGUUUAAAGAAGUGUUUUCUGUUGGAGUUUUGGUAAAAGUUCUUUGGAAUAGGACAUCAUAGAGGGUGAGAAUCCCGUAUUUGACCAUUAUUUCCAGCUUUGUGAUACACCUUCAAAGAGUCGGAUUGUUUGGGAAUGCAGUCCAAAAUGGGUGGUAAAUUUCAUCUAAAGCUAAAUACUGGCGAGAGACCGAUAGCGAACAAGUACCGUGAGGGAAAGAUGAAAAGAACUUUGAAAAGAGAGUUAAACAGUACGUGAAAUUGUCAAAAGGGAAGCGUUUGACACCAGUGUUGUUUUUCUGAAAAUCAAUUAAAGAACUGUUUAUGCUAAGUUGUUUAGACUUUAUCAGCUAACUGUUUAGUUUUGAGCUUUUCUUUAAUGCACUUUUCAGUUAACAAGUCAACAUCAAUUUCUUUUGUUGUAAAAGGGUCAUUGGAAGGUGGCUUUCUUUUCGGAGAAAGUGUUUAUAGCCUUUGGCCUCUGCAAUCGGAGAGAUUGAGGUCUGCAGCGUAGAUCCUUCGGGGUUAGAUACAUUUGUGCUAAGUUAUAGCCUUUCAUAGACAACUUGUUGACUAUGAUUAGUCAUUGUAGCUUACUCGCUUAUGCUAUUUUACCUACGCUUAGGAUGUUGAAGUCAUCGUAUCGCGC